CCGCGAAUGGCUCAUUAAAUCAGUCAUAAUUCCUUGGAUAGUGAAAAACUUUCCUCGGAUAACUGUGGAAAAUCCAGAGCUAAUACGUGCAACUGAGCUCCGACCUCGGCGUCAGCCUUGGGAAGAGCGCAUUUAUUAGAUUCAAAACUGAUCGGUGUACUCCUUCGGGAUACGCCGUUUUCAAAAGUUUGAUGACUCCGGAUAACUUAGCCGAGCGCUACGGUCUUAGUACCGGCGCCGUAUCUUUCAAGUGUCUGCCUUAUCAGCUUUCGAUUGUAGGUUAAAUGCCUACAAUGGCUGUAACGGGUAACGGGGAAUCAGGGUUCGAUUCCGGAGAGGGAGCCUGAGAAACGGCUACCACAUCUAAGGAAGGCAGCAGGCACGUAAAUUACCCACUCCCAGCUCGGGGAGGUAGUGACGAAAAAUAACGAUGCGAGACUCUUCCGAGGCCUCGCAAUCGGAAUGAGUCCAGUUUAAAUCCUUGGACGAGGAUCCAUUGGAGGGCAAGUCUGGUGCCAGCAGCCGCGGUAAUUCCAGCUCCAAUAGCGUAUAUUAAAGUUGCUGCGGUUAAAAAGCUCGUAGUUGGAUCUCCUAGAUCCAAUUCGUGGGCGAGUCGCUCUUAGUACUGGCGAACCGUGUCAGUUCCUUGACUAGGUGGUGUCUUUGUAGGAAUCUCUUUCGGGAGUUCUCUCUUAGAGUCGCCGAAUCUCGGUAACGGCGGGUAGCGGUCUUUGAGUAUAGCUCGUCUGCGUUUGGUACAAUACAAAUUUUGUUGGCUCGCUCGGAGUGCUCUUUACCGAGUGUUCCAGGGUGGCCGACACGUUCACUUUGAAAAAAUUAGAGUGCUUAAAGCAGGCUCCUAUAAGGCAUGAAUGUCUGUGCAUGGAAUGAAGUAACAGGACCUCGAUUCUGUUCUUUUUGUCGGUUUUAAUGAACCGAGGUAAUGAUUAAAAGGGACAGACGGUGGCAUUAGUAUUGCGGCGCUAGAGGUGAAAUUCUUGGACCGUCGCAAGACUAACUACUGCGAAAGCAUUUGCCAAGAAUGUUUUUGUUAAUCAAGAACGAAAGUUAGAGGAUCGAAGGCGAUCAGAUACCGCCCUAGUUCUAACCCUAAACUAUGCUAACUAGCGAUCCGCCGGAGUCAUUCCCACGACCCGGCGGGAAGCCCCAGGGAAACCAAAGUCUUUGAGUU
rnacentral:rRNA from 1 species